AUUGAACGCUGGCGGCAUGCCUUACACAUGCAAGUCGAACGGUAACGCGGGGCAACCUGGCGACGAGUGGCGAACGGGUGAGUAAUGUAUCGGAACGUGCCCAGGUGUGGGGGAUAACUGCUCGAAAGAGCAGCUAAUACCGCAUACGACCUGAGGGAGAAAGCGGGGGAUCGCAAGACCUCGCGCAAUUGGAGCGGCCGAUAUCAGAUUAGGUAGUUGGUGGGGUAAAGGCUCACCAAGCCAACGAUCUGUAGCUGGUCUGAGAGGACGACCAGCCACACUGGGACUGAGACACGGCCCAGACUCCUACGGGAGGCAGCAGUGGGGAAUUUUGGACAAUGGACGCAAGUCUGAUCCAGCCAUGCCGCGUGCGGGAAGAAGGCCUUCGGGUUGUAAACCGCUUUUGUCAGGGAAGAAACGCUCUGGGUUAAUACCUCGGGGUAAUGACGGUACCUGAAGAAUAAGCACCGGCUAACUACGUGCCAGCAGCCGCGGUAAUAC
rnacentral:rRNA from 1 species